rnacentral:rRNA from 1 species
AUUGAACGCUGGCGGCAGGCCUAACACAUGCAAGUCGAGCGGAUGAAGGGAGCUUGCUCCUGGAUUCAGCGGCGGACGGGUGAGUAAUGCCCAGGAAUCUGCCUGGUAGUGGGGGAUAACGUCAGGAAACGGGCGCUAAUACCGCAUACGUCCUGAGGGAGAAAGUGGGGGAUCUUCGGACCUCACGCUAUCAGAUGAGCCUAGGUCGGAUUAGCUAGUUGGUGGGGUAAAGGCCUACCAAGGCGACGAUCCGUAACUGGUCUGAGAGGAUGAUCAGUCACACUGGAACUGAGACACGGUCCAGACUCCUACGGGAGGCAGCAGUGGGGAAUAUUGGACAAUGGGCGAAAGCCUGAUCCAGCCAUGCCGCGUGUGUGAAGAAGGUCUUCGGAUUGUAAAGCACUUUAAGUUGGGAGGAAGGGCAGUAAGUUAAUACCUUGCUGUUUUGACGUUACCAACAGAAUAAGCACCGGCUAACUUCGUG